CGCCCCUUUCAAUCCCCCUCUGGCACAAAGGUAAAGCAAAGGAGCAUCAUUUCAGGGUUUAGCAUCGGAGGUGGCAAGGCUGGGCUGCUCACGGGCGAGAAUGGAGGCCAGCUGAAAGACCAAAGAAGACUGAACAUCGGGGAGGAGAGAGUUUAUAAUCAUCAAGAGUGGGAAUUUGAACAAAAUUUAUUCUCAUAGAAAUGUUAAUAUUUACACAUAUUUUACUAACAUAGGAUGUUAAAUGAAAAGAAAAAAAUAAUGACUUUCCACUACCCUUUCAGUACCAUUUAUGACACAUGGAGUGAAGAUUUCCACAUUCCACAACAGUUAUAAAGAGAUCUGAAAAGGGAUCACUGGAGGCAUGUGGAUAAUGAUUUCAUAAUUAAAACUAAUAGAAGGGA